rnacentral:ncRNA from 1 species
GUUACCAAACAAGCCUACCUCCUCCCGGGCUUGUUUGAAUUUGGCGGCGACAUUUUUCCUCCUCCCUAAUGUCGUCGCCCUUU